AGAGUUUGAUCCUGGCUCAGGACGAACGCUGGCGGCGUGCCUAAUACAUGCAAGUAGAACGCUGAAGAGAGGAGCUUGCUCUUCUUGGAUGAGUUGCGAACGGGUGAGUAACGCGUAGGUAACCUGCCUUGUAGCGGGGGAUAACUAUUGGAAACGAUAGCUAAUACCGCAUAACAAUGGAUGACACAUGUCAUUUAUUUGAAAGGGGCAAUUGCUCCACUACAAGAUGGACCUGCGUUGUAUUAGCUAGUAGGUGAGGUAAUGGCUCACCUAGGCGACGAUACAUAGCCGACCUGAGAGGGUGAUCGGCCACACUGGGACUGAGACACGGCCCAGACUCCUACGGGAGGCAGCAGUAGGGAAUCUUCGGCAAUGGGGGCAACCCUGACCGAGCAACGCCGCGUGAGUGAAGAAGGUUUUCGGAUCGUAAAGCUCUGUUGUAAGUCAAGAACGGGUGUGAGAGUGGAAAGUUCACACUGUGACGGUAGCUUACCAGAAAGGGACGGCUAACUACGUGCCAGCAGCCGCGGUAAUACGUAGGUCCCGAGCGUUGUCCGGAUUUAUUGGGCGUAAAGCGAGCGCAGGCGGUUUGAUAAGUCUGAAGUUAAAGGCUGUGGCUCAACCAUAGUUCGCUUUGGAAACUGUCAAACUUGAGUGCAGAAGGGGAGAGUGGAAUUCCAUGUGUAGCGGUGAAAUGCGUAGAUAUAUGGAGGAACACCGGUGGCGAAAGCGGCUCUCUGGUCUGUAACUGACGCUGAGGCUCGAAAGCGUGGGGAGCGAACAGGAUUAGAUACCCUGGUAGUCCACGCCGUAAACGAUGCUCACUGGUUCUGUGCGAUAUAUUGUACGGGAUUAAGCGAAAGUAUUAAGUGAGCCACCUGGGGAGUACGUCGGCAACGAUGAAACUCAAAGGAAUUGACGGGGGCCCGCACAAGCGGAGGAACAUGUG
rnacentral:rRNA from 1 species